rnacentral:rRNA from 1 species
GACGAACGCUGGCGGCGUGCUUAACACAUGCAAGUCGGGCGGAAAGGCCCUGCUUUUGUGGGGUGCUCGAGUGGCGAACGGGUGAGUAACACGUGAGUAACCUGCCCUUGACUUUGGGAUAACUUCAGGAAACUGGGGCUAAUACCGGAUUGGAGCUCCUGCUGCAUGGUGGGGGUUGGAAAGUUUCGGCGGUUGGGGAUGGACUCGCGGCUUAUCAGCUUGUUGGUGGGGUAGUGGCUUACCAAGGCUUUGACGGGUAGCCGGCCUGAGAGGGUGACCGGCCACAUUGGGACUGAGAUACGGCCCAGACUCCUACGGGAGGCAGCAGUGGGGAAUAUUGCACAAUGGGCGGAAGCCUGAUGCAGCAACGCCGCGUGCGGGAUGACGGCCUUCGGGUUGUAAACCGCUUUCGCCUGUGACGAAGCGUGAGUGACGGUAAUGGGUAAAGAAGCACCGGCUAACUACGUG